CGGAGAGGGAGCAUGAGACAAGGGCCCAGGCCCUACGGGGCGCAGCAGUCGCGAAAACUCCGCAAUACACGAAAGUGUGACGGGGCUAUCCCGAGUGCCAUCCGCUGAGGAUGGCUUUUCCCCAGUGUAUAAAGCUGGGGGAAUAAGGAGAGGGCAAGCCUGGUGUCAGCCGCCGCGGUAAUACCAGCUCUCCGAGUGGUGGGGAUGUUUAUUGGGCCUAAAGCAUUCGUAGCCUGCUUGGCAAGUCCUCCGUUAAAUCCAACGAUUCAAUCGUUGGGCUGCGGGGGAUACUGUCCGGCUAGGGGGCGGGAGAGGCCGACGGUAUCCCCGGGGUAGGGGUGAAAUCCUAUAAUCCCGGGAGGACCACCAGUGGCGAAGGCUGUCGGCUAGAACGCGCUCGACGGUGAGGGAUGAAAGCUGGGGGAGCGAACCGGAUUAGAUACCCGGGUAGUCCCAGCUGUAAACGAUGCAGGCUAGGUGUUGGCGCGGCUACGUGCCGCUCCAGUGCCGCAGGGAAGCCGUUAAGCCUGCCGCCUGGGAAGUACGGCCGCAAGGCUGAAACUUAAAGGAAUUGGCGGGGGAGCACCACAAGGUGUGAAGCUUGCGGUUUAAUUGGAGUCAACGCCGGAAAUCUCACCGGGGGCGACAGCAGAAUGAAGGUCAGAUUGAAGGUCUUACCAGACAAGCUGAGAGGAGGUGCAUGGCCGUCGCCAGUUCGUGCCGUGAGGUGUCCUGUUAAGUCAG
rnacentral:rRNA from 1 species